rfam:Acinetobacter sp. CAG:196 genomic scaffold, scf226
GCUCCAGUGGCGGAAUCGGUAGACGCGUUGGACUUAAAAUCCAAUCGGGGUUCUCCCUCGGUGCCAGUUCAAGUCUGGCCUGGAGCA